rnacentral:rRNA from 1 species
CUAUACAUGACUCUGCGCAUAUCAAUAAGCGGAGGAAAAGAAACUAACAAGGAUUCCCUUAGUAACGGCGAGUGAAGCGGGAAGAGCUCAAAUUUGAAAUCUUAAAGGGUCUCCCUUUACGAAUUGUAGUUUAAAGAAGUGUUUUCUGUUGAGGUUUUGGUAAAAGUUCUUUGGAAUAGGACAUCAUAGAGGGUGAGAAUCCCGUAUUUGACCUUUACUUUCAACUUUGUGAUACACUUUCAAAGAGUCGGAUUGUUUGGGAAUGCAGUCCAAAAUGGGUGGUAAAUUUCAUCUAAAGCUAAAUAUUGGCGAGAGACCGAUAGCGAACAAGUACCGUGAGGGAAAGAUGAAAAGAACUUUGAAAAGAGAGUUAAACAGUACGUGAAAUUGUCAAAAGGGAAGCGUUUGACACCAGUGUUGUUUUUCUGAAAAUCAAUUAAAGAACUGUUUAUGCUAAGUUGUUUAGACCUUAUCAGCUAACUGUUUAGUUUUGAGCUUUUCUUUAAUGCACUUUUCAGUUAACAAGUCAACAUCAAUUUCUUUUGCUGUAAAAAAGCUUGAGGAAGGUGGCUUGAGAUUCGUCUUAAGUGUUUAUAGCCUCUUGCCUAUGCAGUCGGGAGAGAUUGAGGUCUGCAGCGUAGAUCCUUCGGGGCUAAAUGCAUUUGUGCUAAGUUAUAGCAUUUUAUAGACAGCUUGUUGACUAUGAUUUGUCUUGUAGCUUACUCGCUUAUGUUAUUUUACCUACGCUUAGGAUGUUGACAGCAGUAUAGACUGU